rnacentral:rRNA from 1 species
CCCUUAGAUGUUCUGGGCUGCACGCGCGCUACACUGAAGCUAUCAACACGUUUUCCCUCCCUGAGAAGGGCGUGUAACCUUUUGAAUCAGCUUCGUGGUAGGGAUCGGGGCUUGCAAUUGUUCCCCGUGAACCAGGAAUUCCUAGUAGACGCGAGUCAUAAGCUCGCAUCGAUUAAGUCCCUGCCCUUUGUACACACCGCCCGUCGCUACUACCGAUUGAACGUUUUAGUGAGGCAUUUGGACCGACGCAUCUCAGUUUAACCGCUGGUUUGUGUUGGAAAGACUUCCAAACUUGAGCGUUUAGAGGAAGUAAAAGUCGUAACA